GCUGGCGGCAUGCCUACACAUGCAAGUCGAACGGCAGCACGGGAAGCUUGCUCCUGGUGGCGAGUGGCGGACGGGUGAGUAAUGCGUAGGAAUCUGCCCAGUAGUGGGGGACAACCUGGGGAAGCUCAGGCUAAUACCGCAUACGCCCUACGGGGGAAAGUGGGGGAUCUUCGGACCUCACGCUAUUGGAUGAGCCUAUGUCAGAUUAGCUAGUUGGUAGGGUAAAGGCCUACCAAGGCGACGAUCUGUAGCUGGUUUGAGAGGAUGAUCAGCCACACUGGGACUGAGACACGGCCCAGACUCCUACGGGAGGCAGCAGUGGGGAAUCUUAGACAAUGGGGGAAACCCUGAUCUAGCCAUGCCGCGUGAGCGAUGAAGGCCUUAGGGUUGUAAAGCUCUUUCAGUGGGGAAGAUAAUGACGGUACCCACAGAAGAAGCCCCGGCUAACUCCGUGCCAGCAGCCGCGGUAAUACGGAGGGGGCUAGCGUUGUUCGGAAUUACUGGGCGUAAAGCGCGCGUAGGCGGGCUGGAAAGUUGGGGGUGAAAUCCCGGGGCUCAACCCCGGAACUGCCUCCAAAACUAUCAGCCUUGAGUUCGAGAGAGGUGAGUGGAAUUCCGAGUGUAGAGGUGAAAUUCGUAGAUAUUCGGAGGAACACCAGUGGCGAAGGCGGCUCACUGGCUCGAUACUGACGCUGAGGUGCGAAAGUGUGGGGAGCAAACAGGAUUAGAUACCUGGUAGUCCACACCGUAAACGAUGAAUGCCAGACGUCGG
rnacentral:rRNA from 1 species